rnacentral:lncRNA from 1 species
AUGGGCUGGAGAGCUGGCCUCUCUCGUUUGCUUCUUCAUCUGACUGAUGCAACCAUACGCUCCCCACCUGCAAGCUCCUCGGCCUCUUUCUCUGCAGGAUUUGUCCAUGCCACACAUUUCAUAGCGUUCUCCUCUCCAUGUGUGACGGGUAGGUGGGUGCAGGGUGAGGGCAGUGACCUGAUGCGCGGUGCUCUGGAGGCUGGAGUGUCACAUCACAGCCAGGGAAGAGGGUGUCACAAUUCGGGGGUGCAGUGUCACAGGUCUGGGUGGGCAUGGGGCAGGCAGCGGGGUGGGGGGCCAGGGGUCGAAGGGGAAUAUCAGGGAGCAGGCAGACACCCACACUGCCCGGCUCAUUGUCCACCAAGACGCACCCUGGUCUGCGUUGCUGCCCCGUCAGACACAGUAGGGAAAUGCUGUGCUUGCACCCGCGCCUUGAUGGAGGGGCUGGCGUUUCCCUUGCACCCAGCUGCAUCCCCACGCAGAGCACCAAAGAAAACCACUCUGGGCAGGUCAUCCACGUCCCUGCCAGGCUGCUCGUCCUCUCUACAUAGUGCCUUGUGUCUGUCCUGCCUGACCAUGUGGUCAGGUCCAUAGAUGCUGCUCCUGAGAGCACGUUACAGGCUUAGCCACCUCUUGGAUGGAGACGCCGAUGAUUAGCUUGAGGACAGAGCACAGCAAGCUGUCUGAGCCUGCACAGCCAGCACAUUGUCCAGGGCACCUGGGAAGUCAUUUUUCAUCCGAGAUAUCUUCUCCCCUCCAGGGCCGGCUGAAUUACGUAAGGUUCUUUGGACCCCAGACAGGCGAAGUGGGGUUAUAGCACCAUGUGAUCUCAGCUACAUUUCCCAUCUCAGCGUCCUGGUUUUGUGCACAGACAUGGUAACUUGGCUCCUUUCCUGCUUGGAAACAUUUGUUUGGAUGUUCUGAGGCUUUCUCGAGGUUGUGGACCCCCGCCAUAGGGUGUUACAUGGCUUUAGAUAAGAAAUCUCCAUAAAACUGCAAGCAAUGUGUCUUCUGCAGUAAAUCUUUCUUCUUAGUCGAGAGUGAAGCAGUCACAUUAUGUUGCUUUACAUUGCAGCCCACCUGUUGCAAGGAAAGUGCCAAGAAAAUUGUACACCAGUGGGAAAGUGUAGAUUGCAUGUAUGGCUUGGACCCAGCGAGAGUCUGUGGGACUGUGGGAUACACAUUUAAAAAAAUCACCCCACAUCUCUGAGGCUUUCUUUGUGCAGUAGGAAGGGAAUCCCUGGCUAAGCGGAGACAAGCAAUGUGCUGGCUCAGAUGCUGCAGCCAUAGCUGCUAUUAUGGGAUCUUUAAGGUUGGAAAACCUUAGGUUAGACCUCCGAGACCUUUGCAUUGCAAGGAAAGAGGAUCAGCUGGGCGCUGGGUGGACAGAUCCUGCACCUCGGGGCGCAGGACGGAGGUGUGGGCUUCAUUUCCCUGAGCUCAGGGCACUGGGCUGCCCCUGCCUGCAGGUACAAGCCUCCCACCCCACAAAGCCAGGGGCUUGCUGCCUAAACAGGAGGUGUGUGAGUCCAGAAAAG